UCAUGGCCAACAGGUUGAGAAACACUUUCCUAGGGCGUUCCUAAGGCACUUGGCUUUCUGCAAACUUGGUUGAGACUACAGCAGCAGGUAAUCAGAUCUUUUUUGUCCCUGCAACCCCCACCCUAGCAGCGCUCACUGCCUCCUCUCAUGCUAGCAAUACCGGUGGAGAUUAACCCAGUCCUGUCCUUUGCUGUAGAGUCUCAGUCCAUUUCAAACCUUAAGGCAUGGGAGGAGUCUCUAACCUGAGGCUAUACACAAGUAUAUACAGAGAUAGGGAUAGGAGCCGUCUAGGGCCGCUGCUUCUCACACAGCGGACGUCAGCUUCCGUUUGGUGCUCUCUGUGCAGCGGUGCAGGAUGAGGUCCGAGCUGGGUCGCGGAGGCACCGCGGGCUGUGGUUUGACGCGCGGAGUCGAUGGAUUGUCUGCAAACCAAAGCCAGGACCAUCAGAAGCCCCAGCCUCCCAGUUGUAAGAAGGUCCUGGAGAUGAAACUCUGCGGCUAAUGAGGACAGAAGACUCCAGAAUCGCACAGCCAAGUCAGCUCAGAGCCCAAGAGAGGUUCCCCAAACCCACUCAGAGAGGUGUGUGCAGAGGGAGGGGCUCUCCUACCUGACCACCCACCAGCCAUCCAGGAGCUUAUGAAUGACCUCAAUGGCUUCACCCUCAGACAGGGACAUCUCGUCCUCUUCAACAGCAGCGUACGCUUUGAUGGUUACAUACGGUUCACCUGGUCCGCGGAGGGAGCAGCCAGUGAGGCGAGAGUCUCCUCAACUCUCAGCUUCUUCCAACUGUCUAGCCACUACCACAAGCA
rnacentral:lncRNA from 1 species